CAGUCAUACCAACGGGAAAUCAACCUUUUGAGCUCGGUCUCGUGGGUUUUGAAGAGUUUCAAAGCCUUCGGAUUCGCGGGAUUGGGAUCUCUUGGCGUACUUUUUCGUACGGUUAGUCAACAUCGGUUUUGAAUGACAUAAAAUGACUGGAGGAAUGUAGCUUCGAUCUCGUAUUGAAGUGUUAUAGCCUUUGGUAGAUGUGAUGUUUGAGACCGAGGAUUGCAACGGAUACCCUUCAGGGCUAUUCGUCUGAUCUCUGAUACGUUGCCUUGAUGUUGAAAGCUUGCUUAUGAUGUUAGGGUAUUACGGUCAAAAGGUUAGAACGAAUUACA
rnacentral:rRNA from 1 species